AAACAAGCCUUAUAUUUUUUACAUUGUAUAUUUUGUUCAUCGCAUUGUUUUCUCAGCCGUUUUGAAUAACGUUUUAAAUAAAGUAUUUUAAAUGGCUCAAAGGCAUUUUAAACUGUAUUUAGUAUACGUUGAACUUUAUUUCUGUCAUUUUUUUUCUGUUUUUCGUAUUAUUUUCUCAACGCUGUUUCCACAUGUCAAUGAUUCUGAAGUUUUAUUGAUUCUUUGUACGUUGACAGUUUUAAACAAAGUUUUUUUUAUUUUGAAGAACUCGGUAGCCGUCUGAAGAUGGCGGCCGUGAAGUUGUUGACAGUUGUACUUCUGAACUUUUCCUUCACUUUUGUCUCGUCUUUGUACUUUCACAUGGGGGACACCGAGAGGAAAUGCUUCAUGGAGAAGAUCCCGAACGAGACGAUGCUCAUGGGAAACUAUGGGACCCGGCUGUUUGACGGACAGAGAGACGAGUACCUGCCGGUCUCUCAGAACAUCACCUUAUCAGUCCAGGUCAAAGAUCCUAAUGACAAGCUGGUUCUGUCUCGGUCUCACGGCUCGGAGGGAAGCUUCAGAUUCAGAUCUAAGGAACCUGGAGGAUACCAGAUCUGUCUCCAAGCAAACUGUUCACAGCACCCCCUGCCUGCUGGAGUCCUGCUGGCGGUUCACCUGGACCUCAGAGCGGCCGGAAGAACAAACAACUCCGCUGAGAUCGCUGCGAGAGAAAAACUGACGGAUAUUCAGCUGAGAGUCCAACAGCUGAUGGAGCAGGUUCUACAGAUCCAGCAGGAGCAGAACUCCCAGAAGUUGAGAGAAAGAGAUUUCCUUGAGGUGACACAAAACACCAACAUGUGGAUCUUCUGGUGGCCGGUCGCCCGCUCGCUCUACGUGGUUUUCAUCAUCAUCUGGCACACCAAGUCCUGGUGAGACCUCAAUGAUCCACAAUACCAUCACCAACAUCACACAUUAAAGGUCCCCUAUCCAGGGUGACGUUCCUCUUCAGUACACUUUGGACCUACAAGGGAAACAACAACAACAAAAUGGGACUUAUGAAACUUGUAAAUAUUUCCAGAAGCAUAAUCAAAUACUUUUUUAUAUACUGAGACCCCCCUCCCACCCGACAUCAGAAUACCUUUAUUAGUCCCACAUGUACAUUGUUACAGCAGAAAAGAGCCAAAGACAGCUUCAUGUCACCUCAGUAGCAUAACACAUUUAUUUUUUUAAAUACAAGUUACAAAACACACCCUGAUGAGGGCCGUAGUUUGGACAGCCCUGUUAUAUAGUCUGACCACUGCAGGAAGGAAGGGCCUGAGGUUAUUUGAAAUACUUUUUUAUACACUGAGACCCCCCUCCCAACCCGACAUGAUUAGUUCACCU